rnacentral:rRNA from 1 species
UACGUAGGGACCAAGCGUUGUUCGGAUUUACUGGGCGUAAAGGGCGCGUAGGCGGCCAUGCGUGUCUUCCGUGAAAUCCCUCGGCUUAACUGAGGACGUGCGGAAGAAACUGCAAGGCUUGAGUCCGGGAGAGGGGGGUGGAAUUCCCAGUGUAGCGGUGAAAUGCGUAGAUAUUGGGAGGAACACCGGUGGCGAAGGCGGCCCCCUGGACCGGUACUGACGCUGAGGCGCGAAAGCGUGGGUAGCAAACGGG